rnacentral:rRNA from 2 species
GCGACCUCAGGUCAGGCGGGGCUACCCGCUGAG